UGGACAGAGCUAAAGAAGCUAAACAAUGUUUUGUUCAUCAAGUAUUGAGACCUUCAAACGGUGCUACAGUUAAUGUAACAAAGUAUGAUUGAGUAUAAAGUAAAAAGUUCACCUUCAAAUCAGGUGGCCCAUAAAAAUGGCAAACCAUCUCAGUGAGUGUAAAAGAACGUGAUAGUAGCCUUCACUUCAGCUGCAAGAAGACAGAUAUGUAACUGAAGAUUUUCUAAAGAAUUAGAUGAUUUCAAAGGGACAAACCUUGCAACCAUCAUGAGAGGAUGAAGAGGAAAAUGAACAAAAUGGGGAAGGAAAAGGGGAUGAUGAAAGUGAGCAGUGCUACAAGAAAUGGAAAAAUUCCCAUCUAGCCUAUUCUCCAUAUUACAUAGAGUCCCAGUCUCUAUCCAGACUGAAGUAAGGUCAUUGUCUCAUCAUGGGCGGUUUGUUUCCAGCUCCUCAGCAUCAACGGACUCUGCAGUGUUCAACUAUCUAAUUAUUUGGUAUUUGAUUAUAUAUGUCUGGUAUCUGCUUUCUGUGUGUGAUUGUUUGAGGCUGGGUGUGGUGGCUGAGAAAGAAAAACUAAACUGUAGGCAAGUAAACUGUUAAGUAUGACAGCAGACAUUUUAAAACACUGAAUAA